UUCAUACUCUCUCGGUCCGCCAUCUUGGAUAACCUCGCGCGCCACCUAUAGUCCGUGUGCAUUGCGAAUUGCGCGCGACUAGAAUCUAAGCGUGGCUGUGACACAAGUGGUACUGAAUGGGAUGUUGAACGCUUGCGUUGCGUUGAAGAAGUAACUCCGCCUUCCUUAUCGCGUAAGUAACGACGACGGCGUAAUAUAUGUUUGCUAACCAUCACCACGUUAAACACGCGGUCUCGUGCAGCAGCGGGGGCUAUGUAUACUCGCUAGCGGCCUACUACUACGGCAAAUCCGUCAGGCAGGCUCGGUACGUACUACCUCGGAGAGCCUUUCAGUUAAUACGUCAAUUCUAGUUCAUGCAGUUUUCUGUAGCACGCACAGGAUUUCGCAAGGCAUUGUUGAUGCACGGUAACGGCGCUGAAAUAUAACCUUUCACACCGCAGCAAAUAAUAGGUGGCGAGCACUUAGCACUUUCCAUUGUUUGGGAAAGUAUUUUGGUCUCAUAUCCAUUUCAUUGCAGCUCAUGACUUCAUCCGGUGAAAGUGGCACGGGCCGUACGUCCGCACGUCCUAUCUGCUCCUAUGCUAACAAUCGGGUUGACCCUCCUCCUGGCGCCAUCUUGAAUCGCACGGCGCGCCACCUAUAGUUCGUGGGCAUUGCGAAUAGUUCGUGGGCAUUGCGAAUAUCGUGCUGUACAUGACAUGCGUGUCAUGAUUUGCACGUUAGGACCUGUCAGUUCUGUUCAUCAUACACUCUUGUAACGCCGUAUCAAUUUUGGUAUAUAUCAAGUUAACGAAACGGUCGUAAGAACCCUUGCGUCUAGCUGUGUUCCACUCCGUGGCUGUCUCGCUCGAUCACGAAUUCAGCGCGGGAAAUGAAGCACACGGCAGUGCCGCGCGUAGCGGUGACAUAUUAGCUGAUCACGCCGGCUUGCUUCCCUUUGCUUCAACGCAACGAAACAUCAUGCCUUGCAAGAUCACAUACUGCAUUACGUAGAAGUGUUACUGCUUUGGAGUCAUCCUGCUAUUCACUGAGGACGUACAUACAACUAAGUUUUGCUUCGGCGGCAAGCAUCGAUCGUAAAGCCGCACUACUACGUAUGUGUACAGUGUACUAGAAUGGGUAGUCCGUGGUACAAGCAGUAGAAACCUGUCGUCUGCUAGAACAAAAAGAAAAAAAAAUCUACUGAAAAAGUAUUUAACUUGUCUCGUAUAAAUUUUUCUUGAAGACAAGUCAUUAUUUUUAAACUAUUUUGCCCAAUAACAUGCAUUCUCUAACAAUGUCACACGGCGACUUUUUCUUUUUCACGAACAACAAUUCAAGCUAGAUAGAUCCAUCCAAAGCUCUGGAUCCAUGCAUAGCCGAAGCAUGUUAUUUGCCUUUGUUUUACAGUUUUGUUUGCAAGCGUCUCGCGCGUGUUUUCGUCCACAAGAAGAUUCUAGGUAAAAGUAUUAAAUUCACGUAAUGAAGCUUAGUUCUUCGUUUGUGCGGUGUGCAAAGAUUGCGCGCAAUUCUCGCUGUUCUCGGAGUGCCGAUGAAGUACGAGUCGUUCAAGGAAUCAACGAAAUCUGCGGGUGCUCGAAUGACUCCAUGGCUGACGCCCGUGGCCACCUGCUACACGCCAGCGAAAGAAACUAAAGCACUGUGGAGGCUGCAGGGCGACUUUGCAAGUAGGAAGGGCGGAAAUUCCUGAAGAUGUAUUCAUCCAUGCUGCAUCAGCUGCUUGGUGUUUUCAUGGCAUCUCUGCACACGUGUUGGGUUGAUCUCAAGCAGAAAAGCAGAAGCGGCAGUGGUCUCCAGAAGAGACCAAGGACCCCAAGCUCUCUGUGACACAAACAGGAAGGGCACUGUGAUGCGUUGAAAACCUGCGCCAGUAGUGCAUCACCAGUGCACUAUGCUGCUGUUUCAUCAAGGAGAAAGAAGGUGACCACCCCUAGAGGAACUUCAUGCUCUAC